GGUUUGAAGAAUUGUUAUGGUCUAGCUUUUUUACAUUUUUGUUUCUAAUUUCUCAGAGCUGGAAUACAAUGGUAAGAAAGUAUCAAGGCUAAAACGUCGCAUGGUAAACCCGUACAAGGCGAAAAUGCCACAAGGUGGCUACAUACAAGGCAAAAAUGUUCCAGGCGAAUCCUCCUUUCACGAUAUAUUAAGUACCUAUUAUAUAUUGUGUAUAUGUAAUGCGUAAAUAUCUAUCGAGCUGUUAGCAAAUCAAAAGACUUUUCUUUUUUUUUACAUAAAGAAUUUAUUCGUUUAGAGAAGAUACAUAUAUAAAAACAUAUAUAAAUAAGCAUUUUAGUUUAGAAUUAAAACCCUUAACUAAAGUCAUUACAACAGU
rnacentral:lncRNA from 1 species